AACGAACGCUGGCGGCGUGCCUAACACAUGCAAGUCGAGCGCGAAAAGGGCAACCUGAGUAGAGCGGCGCACGGGUGCGUAACACGUGGGUAAUCUGCCUCAAAGUUUGGGAUAACCUUCCGAAAGGUUGGCUAAUACCGGAUAAGCUCACGAGGUCUUCGGACUUUGUGGGAAAAGGUGGCCUCUGUUUACAAGCCAUCACUUUGAGAUGAGCCCGCGGCCCAUCAGCUAGUUGGCGGGGUAACGGCCCACCAAGGCUACGACGGGUAGCUGGUCUGAGAGGACGAUCAGCCACACUGGAACUGAGACACGGUCCAGACUCCUACGGGAGGCAGCAGUGGGGAAUUUUGCACAAUGGGCGAAAGCCUGAUGCAGCAACGCCGCGUGUGUGAUGAAGGUCUUCGGAUCGUAAAGCACUUUCG
rnacentral:rRNA from 1 species